ACGUAGGAGGCAAGCGUUGUCCGGAUUUACUGGGUGUAAAGGGUCCGCAGGCGGGCUCGUAAGUCGGUGGUGAAAUCCUCCAGCUCAACUGGAGAGCUGCCUCCGAUACUGCGGGUCUUGAAUCGAGGAGAGGGGGACGGAAUUCCAGGUGUAGCGGUGAAAUGCUUAGAUAUCUGGAAGAACACCGGUGGCGAAGGCUGUUCCCUGGCCUCCGAUUGACGCUCAUGGACGAAAGCGUGGGGAUCAAACAG
rnacentral:rRNA from 1 species